rnacentral:rRNA from 1 species
UACAGAGGGGGCAAGCGUUGUUCGGAAUUACUGGGCGUAAAGGGCGCGUAGGUGGCCUUCUAAGUUGAACGUGAAAUCCCUGGGCUCAACCCAGGAACUGCGUCCAAGACUGGGAGGCUUGAAUCCGGGAGAGGGAUGCGGAAUUCCAGGUGUAGCGGUGAAAUGCGUAGAUAUCGGGAGGAACACCAGUGGCGAAGGCGGGUCUCUGGGCAGUUACUGACGCUGAGGCACGAAAGCGUGGGGAGCAAACAGG